ACCAGACUCCUACGGGAGGCAGCAGUGAGGAAUAUUGGUCAAUGGUCGGGAGACUGAACCAGCCAAGCCGCGUGAGGGAGGAAGGUACAGAGUAUCGUAAACCUCUUUUGUCAGGGGACAAAGACUGGGACGCGUCCCCGGAUGAGUGUACCUGAAGAAAAAGCAUCGGCUAACUCCGUGCCAGCAGCCGCGGUAAUACGGAGGAUGCGAGCGUUAUCCGGAUUUAUUGGGUUUAAAGGGUGCGUAGGUGGUUAAUUAAGUCAGCGGUGAAAGUUUGUGGCUCAACCAUAAAAUUGCCGUUGAAACUGGUUGACUUGAGUAUAUUUGAGGUAGGCGGAAUGCGUGGUGUAGCGGUGAAAUGCAUAGAUAUCACGCAGAACUCCGAUUGCGAAGGCAGCUUACUAAACUAUAACUGACACUGAAGCACGAAAGCGUGGGUAUCGAACAGGAUUAGAUACCCGUGUAA
rnacentral:rRNA from 1 species